rnacentral:lncRNA from 1 species
GUUCUUAGGAGAGUUGGACACAUUCAAAACACAAUAUGUGAUUAAGAAGAUUAAAGAUUAAUACUUAUUGAUGGAUUACUGUGUGCCAAACUUCCAACCGAAUCCUGACAAAUCCAUAAGAUGUGGAAACCACAGUUCACUGAGGUUGACAUUUCCGGGUUCAUACAACAAGGAUGGGCAUGAUUGUGAGGCCUCCUCACCCACAUGGAACUAGUUACCCAGCUAUCCCCCAAUGGGUUCGAGAUUCCCAUUUCAAGAGUGUAGAGUUCUACCCAGAAGGUGGCUGCGUGGACAGUGACUACAUUCUCAGCUCCAUGCCUAUUUGGAUGGUCUGAGGCCUUCACUCCUCAUACUUCCUGGAUGUGGUUGCGCCAGAGGGGAUGAUUUAGUGAGCAGAUGGUACCAAGAAAACCAAGGGUAUUGCAUCCAGCUGUGUGUACACAGAUUGGUGAAUUCAAGCCUCUGAUCUAGGAUCUGAAAUAAAAA